UCGAAAAUAACACACCACCAGCCGACUCUGUGUUGCGUUAGAUUAGACGCGGUCUACGCGGCAGACGCCAAUUAAAUAUGUGCUCAGAGGAAGUACUGCUAUGGUGGCCUGUAUACUGCGACUCUGGAAGAGAGGAAAUCGGGGAAGAAUAGUGCGCAGACGCCAAACACGGUGAAGAGACAUGGAAGAGCUUCAGCAACGGUCACGAGAAGGAAAACAGCGUGACGGCAGGGGUGCGUGCACCAGGAGACCACUUCUUCCUCCUGUUCUUGUUUGCCCUUCGACCCUUUGCCGGAAUGCCGUCGUUGUAUAUUGCGGUGGAAAUCAAUGACAACGCAUAGGCCGUUUUCUCCUACAACAAAGGCGCCGUAUAUGUUCUCGAUAAAUUUAGCUUACGCCUGCUGACGUGCUCGUGUCUUUCACGGUGAGAUACCCACUUCCCGGUUCAUGGGGAUGAUGCGCGUCUGUGUGUAUUACUCUCUAUGGGAAGUUGUAAUUAAAUGCGCUACAUGGUG